GACGAACGCUGGCGGCGUGCCUAAUACAUGCAAGUAGAACGCACAGUUUAUACCGUAGCUUGCUACACCAUAGACUGUGAGUUGCGAACGGGUGAGUAACGCGUAGGUAACCUGCCUGGUAGCGGGGGAUAACUAUUGGAAACGAUAGCUAAUACCGCAUAAUAUUGAUUAUUGCAUGAUAAUUAAUUGAAAGGUGCAAUUGCACCACUACCAGAUGGACCUGCGUUGUAUUAGCUAGUAGGUGAGGUAACGGCUCACCUAGGCGACGAUACAUAGCCGGCCUGAGAGGGUGAUCGGCCACACUGGGACUGAGACACGGCCCAGACUCCUACGGGAGGCAGCAGUAGGGAAUCUUCGGCAAUGGACGAAAGUCUGACCGAGCAACGCCGCGUGAGUGAAGAAGGUUUUCGGAUCGUAAAGCUCUGUUGUAAGAGAAGAACGGGUGUGAGAGUGGAAAGUUCACACUGUGACGGUAUCUUACCAGAAAGGGACGGCUAACUACGUG
rnacentral:rRNA from 1 species